UUGUUACGACUUCACCCCAAUCAUGAGUCAUACCUUGGGCGUCUACUCCCUUUCCCGGUUAGCACGACGACUUCUAGUAUCACCCACUUUCGUGAUGUGACGGGCGGUGUGUACAAGGCCCGGGAACGUAUUCACCGCAGCGUUCUGAUCUGCGAUUACUAGCGAUUCCAGCUUCAUGGAGUCGGGUUGCAGACUCCAAUCCGAACUGAGGCCGGCUUUUUCCGAUUAGCUCCCCCUCGCGGGUUUGCAACGGUUUGUACCGACCAUUGUAGCACGUGUGUAGCCCUGGACAUAAAGGCCAUGAGGACUUGACGUCAUCCCCACCUUCCUCCCCGUUAUCCGAGGCGGUUUCGCUAAAGUGCCCAGCUUGACCUGAUGGCAACUAACGAUAAGGGUUGCGCUCGUUGCGGGACUUAUCCCAACAUCUCACGACAAUAACUGACAACAGCUAUGCAGCACUUCCACAGCA
rnacentral:rRNA from 1 species